rnacentral:rRNA from 1 species
GUGUCAGCCGCCGCGGUAAUACAGAGGGUGCAAGCGUUGUUCGGAAUUAUUGGGCGUAAAGCGCGUGUAGGCGGCUUUGCAAGUCGGGUGUGAAAGCCCUCAGCUCAACUGAGGAAGUGCGCCCGAAACUGCAGAGCUUGAAUACCGGAGAGGAUGGCGGAAUUCCCCAAGUAGAGGUGAAAUUCGUAGAUAUGGGGAGGAACACCGGUGGCGAAGGCGGCCAUCUGGACGGCUAUUGACGCUGAGACGCGAAAGCGUGGGGAGCAAACAGGAUUAGAAACCCGGGUAGUCC